GACGAACGCUGGCGGCGUGCCUAAUACAUGCAAGUAGAACGCUGAAGGAGGAGCUUGCUCUUCUGGAUGAGUUGCGAACGGGUGAGUAACGCGUAGGUAACCUGCCUGGUAGUGGGGGAUAACUAUUGGAAACGAUAGCUAAUACCGCAUAAUAACAGUUGUUGCAUGACAACUGUUUGAAAGGUGCAAUUGCAUCACUACCAGAUGGACCUGCGUUGUAUUAGCUAGUUGGUGGGGUAACGGCUCACCAAGGCGACGAUACAUAGCCGACCUGAGAGGGUGAUCGGCCACACUGGGACUGAGACACGGCCCAGACUCCUACGGGAGGCAGCAGUAGGGAAUCUUCGGCAAUGGACGAAAGUCUGACCGAGCAACGCCGCGUGAGUGAAGAAGGUUUUCGGAUCGUAAAGCUCUGUUGUAAGAGAAGAACGAGUGUGAGAGUGGAAAGUUCACA
rnacentral:rRNA from 1 species